rnacentral:lncRNA from 1 species
GGGGGAAUCUAGACAUGAGAGGAAUUCUCUUGAUUAUGAAAUAUUACCUAGACAUAGGAAUAGGACGAUCAAUUGCUUUAAGCUUCUGUACACUGAAAUGCAUGACUAAUUACUAGGGAGACUAGACAUAGUAAACUAGUAGUUGGGAUUAGGCUCUCUUUGCCGAGACAUCGGGUUUAGAGUAAAUUAGAAAGUUACAUGACAUUGAUAACAAAGUUGAAUUUAAUAAGAAUAAUAGAUACAAGAGAGUGGAUUAGGAUGAAACCGUAAACCCCAGCAACACCAUUCAUUCAUAUCUUUAUAUGUCAAUUGAUCAAGUUUUUGCAUUUGCAUGUUUAUUUUAGUCUGUGCAUUAUAAACCCUAAAUUUAAUCUUUAUCCAGUCUUAAGAAAUCAAUUCACAUAAACGAUUAGGCCUAAGAGUCCCUUGGAAAACUAUAUUCGGACUUACCGUUUAUUUAUUACUUGAUACGAUCUGGUACACUUGUCAGGGUGUUAACACCCAGCGCUGAGUGCCAUUCUUUUG